rnacentral:rRNA from 1 species
UACGUAGGGUGCAAGCGUUAAUCGGAAUUACUGGGCGUAAAGCGUGCGCAGGCGGCUUUGCAAGACAGAUGUGAAAUCCCCGGGCUUAACCUGGGAACUGCAUUUGUGACUGCAGGGCUGGAGUGCGGUAGAGGGGGAUGGAAUUCCGCGUGUAGCAGUGAAGUGCGUAGAUAUGCGGAGGAACACCGAUGGCGAAGGCAAUCCCCUGGGCCUGCACUGACGCUCAUGCACGAAAGCGUGGGGAGCAAACAGG